AAGCAGAAGCUGACUACGCUGACUACGCAGCCCCAGAUCAAGCACGCUCCAGAUAAUUCUCUGCACUCAGCGCCGAGGCCAGUUCUGCCACACAGCACCCGCCCCUGCCGCCACCGGGGGCUGCGGCGUUCCCUGCGCCAUCUCCCGCCGCCCGGGACUGCAGCGGGGCCGCCGUCACCUUUCGAAGGCGCAGCACGUGGUCCCAACACUCGGCGGGGUGCACGUUUUAAACCCUAAGACGCCAGCUUCAGCCACUGUGGCGCCCUUCCGAGGGCCUCUGCUGACCUCGAGGUUCUUCUGCAAAGGCCCUGGGUGCUGGUGUGCUCUGAGGGAGAAAACAAUCGAGCUUAGAAAAGAAUGUUCCCGAGUCUCUGACCUGGGCUCCCCCCGCCCUCUGCGGUGCCGUACUCCCAGCGCGAGAUUGCAGUGUACCAGGGCUCGGGUGAGACAAAAAUUGGCACCAAGGCGGAAGCCUGCUUAGCGUCAGAGCCCGAGGUUGAGAUAUUAACAAAAGACGAGGUGCCUAGGAGUGAAGUCUGUGGGGUUGGACCGCCUGGGGUGCAAAAUUCAGUGUCUAAAUAAAAUCGUGCGUGCGGGGGGGUGGGGUGACAAUUAAAAUGAAACAAAAUGC
rnacentral:lncRNA from 1 species